UUAAGCGACUAAGCGUACACGGUGGAUGCCCUGGCAGUCAGAGGCGAUGAAGGACGUGCUAAUCUGCGAAAAGCGUCGGUAAGGUGAUAUGAACCGUUAUAGCCGGCGAUGUCCGAAUGGGGAAACCCAGUGCAAUUCGUUGCACUAUCGUUAACUGAAUACAUAGGUUAACGAGGCGAACCGGGGGAACUGAAACAUCUAAGUACCCCGAGGAAAAGAAAUCAACCGAGAUUCCCCCAGUAGCGGCGAGCGAACGGGGAGCAGCCCAGAGUCUGAAUCAGCUUGUGUGUUAGUGGAACGGUCUGGAAAGUCCGACGGUACAGGGUGAUAGUCCCGUACACCAAAAUGCACAGGCUGUGAACUCGAAGAGUAGGGCGGGACACGUGGUAUCCUGUCUGAAUAUGGGGGGACCAUCCUCCAAGGCUAAAUACUCCUGACUGACCGAUAGUGAACCAGUACCGUGAGGGAAAGGCGAAAAGAACCCCGGCGAGGGGAGUGAAAAAGAACCUGAAACCGUGUACGUACAAGCAGUGGGAGCACCUUCGGGUGUGACUGCGUACCUUUUGUAUAAUGGGUCAGCGACUUAUAUUCUGUAGCAAGGUUAACCGUAUAGGGGAGCCGCAGGGAAACCGAGUCUUAACUGGGCGUUAAGUUGCAGGGUAUAGACCCGAAACCCGGUGAUCUAGCCAUGGGCAGGUUGAAGGUUGGGUAACACUAACUGGAGGACCGAACCGACUAAUGUUGAAAAAUUAGCGGAUGACUUGUGGCUGGGGGUGAAAGGCCAAUCAAACCGGGAGAUAGCUGGUUCUCCCCGAAAGCUAUUUAGGUAGCGCCUCGUGAACUCAUCUUCGGGGGUAGAGCACUGUUUCGGCUAGGGGGUCAUCCCGACUUACCAACCCGAUGCAAACUACGAAUACCGAAGAAUGUUAUCACGGGAGACACACGGCGGGUGCUAACGUCCGUCGUGAAGAGGGAAACAACCCAGACCGCCAGCUAAGGUCCCAAAGUCAUGGUUAAGUGGGAAACGAUGUGGGAAGGCACAGACAGCCAGGAUGUUGGCUUAGAAGCAGCCAUCAUUUAAAGAAAGCGUAAUAGCUCACUGGUCGAGUCGGCCUGCGCGGAAGAUGUAACGGGGCUAAACCAUGCACCGAAGCUGCGGCAGCGACACUAUGUGUUGUUGGGUAGGGGAGCGUUCUGUAAGCCUGCGAAGGUGUGCUGUGAGGCAUGCUGGAGGUAUCAGAAGUGCGAAUGCUGACAUAAGUAACGAUAAAGCGGGUGAAAAGCCCGCUCGCCGGAAGACCAAGGGUUCCUGUCCAACGUUAAUCGGGGCAGGGUGAGUCGACCCCUAAGGCGAGGCCGAAAGGCGUAGUCGAUGGGAAACAGGUUAAUAUUCCUGUACUUGGUGUUACUGCGAAGGGGGGACGGAGAAGGCUAUGUUAGCCGGGCGACGGUUGUCCCGGUUUAAGCAUGUAGGCUGGUUGUCCAGGCAAAUCCGGAUAAUCAAGGCUGAGGUGUGAUGACGAGGUACUACGGUGCUGAAGUAACAAAUGCCCUGCUUCCAGGAAAAGCCUCUAAGCAUCAGGUAACAUCAAAUCGUACCCCAAACCGACACAGGUGGUCAGGUAGAGAAUACCAAGGCGCUUGAGAGAACUCGGGUGAAGGAACUAGGCAAAAUGGUGCCGUAACUUCGGGAGAAGGCACGCUGGUGUGUAGGUGAAGUCCCUGCGGAUGGAGCUGAGACCAGUCGAAGAUACCAGCUGGCUGCAACUGUUUAUUAAAAACACAGCACUGUGCAAACACGAAAGUGGACGUAUACGGUGUGACGCCUGCCCGGUGCCGGAAGGUUAAUUGAUGGGGUUAUCCGUAAGGAGAAGCUCUUGAUCGAAGCCCCGGUAAACGGCGGCCGUAACUAUAACGGUCCUAAGGUAGCGAAAUUCCUUGUCGGGUAAGUUCCGACCUGCACGAAUGGCGUAAUGAUGGCCAGGCUGUCUCCACCCGAGACUCAGUGAAAUUGAACUCGCUGUGAAGAUGCAGUGUACCCGCGGCAAGACGGAAAGACCCCGUGAACCUUUACUAUAGCUUGACACUGAACAUUGAGCCUUGAUGUGUAGGAUAGGUGGGAGGCUUUGAAGCGUGGACGCCAGUCUGCGUGGAGCCAACCUUGAAAUACCACCCUUUAAUGUUUGAUGUUCUAACGUUGGCCCCUUACCGGGGUUGCGGACAGUGUCUGGUGGGUAGUUUGACUGGGGCGGUCUCCUCCCAAAGCGUAACGGAGGAGCACGAAGGUUAGCUAAUCCUGGUCGGACAUCAGGAGGUUAGUGCAAUGGCAUAAGCUAGCUUGACUGCGAGCGUGACGGCGCGAGCAGGUGCGAAAGCAGGUCAUAGUGAUCCGGUGGUUCUGAAUGGAAGGGCCAUCGCUCAACGGAUAAAAGGUACUCCGGGGAUAACAGGCUGAUACCGCCCAAGAGUUCAUAUCGACGGCGGUGUUUGGCACCUCGAUGUCGGCUCAUCACAUCCUGGGGCUGAAGUAGGUCCCAAGGGUAUGGCUGUUCGCCAUUUAAAGUGGUACGCGAGCUGGGUUUAGAACGUCGUGAGACAGUUCGGUCCCUAUCUGCCGUGGGCGCUGGAGAAUUGAGGGGGGCUGCUCCUAGUACGAGAGGACCGGAGUGGACGCAUCACUGGUGUUCGGGUUGUCAUGCCAAUGGCACUGCCCGGUAGCUAAAUGCGGAAGAGAUAAGUGCUGAAAGCAUCUAAGCACGAAACUUGCCCCGAGAUGAGUUCUCCCUGAGACUUUAAGUCUCCUGAAGGAACGUUGAAGACGACGACGUUGAUAGGCCGGGUGUGUAAGCGCAGCGAUGCGUUGAGCUAACCGGUACUAAUGAACCGUGAGGCUUAACCU
rnacentral:rRNA from 1 species